rnacentral:rRNA from 1 species
UGGGGAAUAUUGCACAAUGGGCGCAAGCCUGAUGCAGCCAUGCCGCGUGUGUGAAGAAGGCCUUCGGGUUGUAAAGCACUUUCAGCGGGGAGGAAGGGUUCAGUGUUAAUAGCACUGUUCAUUGACGUUACUCGCAGAAGAAGCACCGGCUAACUCCGUGCCAGCAGCCGCGGUAAUACGGAGGGUGCAAGCGUUAAUCGGAAUUACUGGGCGUAAAGCGCACGCAGGCGGUUUGUUAAGUCAGAUGUGAAAUCCCCGCGCUUAACGUGGGAACUGCAUUUGAAACUGGCAAGCUAGAGUCUUGUAGAGGGGGGUAGAAUUCCAGGUGUAGCGGUGAAAUGCGUAGAGAUCUGGAGGAAUACCGGUGGCGAAGGCGGCCCCCUGGACAAAAG